GACGAAGGGGGCUAGCGUUGCUCGGAAUCACUGGGCGUAAAGGGCGCGUAGGCGGCGUUUUAAGUCGGGGGUGAAAGCCUGUGGCUCAACCACGGAAUGGCCUUCGAUACUGGGACGCUUGAGUAUGGUAGAGGUUGGUGGAACUGCGAGUGUAGAGGUGAAAUUCGUAGAUAUUCGCAAGAACACCGGUGGCGAAGGCGGCCAACUGGACCAUUACUGACGCUGAGGCGCGAAAGCGUGGGGAGCAAACAGG
rnacentral:rRNA from 1 species